GAUCCACCCGGCACCAUGAGCGAGGAGCCGGAGACCAGCACCACAAGCCCCGCUCCCGCCACGCCGCCCGUCCCGCCCGCGGCUGCCGCGCCGCCCGCGCCCGCCGCCCAGGACGCCGCUCCCAAGAGCGCCGCCGCGCCGGGUGCGGCUGCUGGUGAGGCGACCCCCAGCGCCGCCGCCGCCGCCACAACCGCGGUGACUGAGUCGAAGAAGAAAGUGCUGGCCACCAAAGUUCUUGGCACAGUCAAGUGGUUCAAUGUCAGAAAUGGAUAUGGCUUUAUCAACAGAAACGAUACCAAAGAAGAUGUGUUUGUUCAUCAGACGGCGAUAAAGAAAAAUAAUCCACGGAAAUACCUGCGCAGCGUUGGCGAUGGAGAGAUUGUAGAAUUUGAUGUGGUCGAGGGAGAGAAGGGUGCAGAAGCAGCUAAUGUCACUGGUCCAGAUGGAGUCCCUGUGGAAGGCAGCCGCUAUGCUGCAGACCGGCGCCGCUAUCGGCGAGGCUACUUUGGCCGACGCCGGGGUCCACCUCGGAGUGGUGGUGAGGGAGAAAUCAAGGAUGGGGUCACAGAAGGAGGACAACUUCAGCAAGUGCACAGGAAUCCUACCUAUCGUCCCCGCUAUCGCAGAGGGCCCCCUCGCCCACGCCCUGCUCCAGCGACUGGAGAGGUUGAAAACAAGGAGAACCAUCAUGAGGCCAGUGCCAUGAGCCAGCAGCCGCUGCGCCGUGGCUACCGGCGCCCCUACAACUACCGGCGCCGGCCACGCCCAGCCAGCGCUCCAGCACAGGAGGGCAAAGAGAGAGGAAGGGUGUGGAGGUCAGCCUUUGCCUAUAAUAAGAGUUUGCUGUGUCUCAGACAAAGGCAAAUGAAACACCUGCUGAAAAUCCUGCUCCAGUGACAGAGCAGAGUGGUGCUGAGUAAUGUCCGGCUCCCCAGGCGCCUUUACCAUCGCUCAGGUGUCCUGAAGUACAGCUCAAAAGUAACACCAAAGAAACACACAAGCAAUAAAUUGUCAACAGUGAUGACGAAAGCAAAGAUUUGAAAUACCAAAAUGUAAAAGAAAAUUUACCAGCAGCUGAGAUCCAGGGAACGCCUACAAGAUAGAUGCAUGAAGAGAGAAAGAGAGCGAGAUUCAGAAAGAACAGCCUCUCUAGUUUCAACAGCAACUGUGGGGCUUCUUGUUUUGUGGUGUUUUUUUCCUGAGAAUUUCACUGUUUUGCUAGUAUUGGGGUUUUUUUCAAUUUUUCUUUUGGUAUUAAACUGAAAAGGGGAAAAAAAAAACCAACCAAAGAAUUAAAAUUGAAACAAAAUGCUUUUUUUAUUGAUGCUGGUGCUAAACCUCCCAAGUGUGAGGUUUUUUUUUUUUUUCUGUGCCAGUCCUGUUCACUGCAGGAUGUGGGGAGGACAGACUUCCGCUUUCCUUGUUAAGAUCUGUUUGAAGCUGUGCACAUGGGUGACGUUCCUCUUAAAUAAAAGUGAUUUCAACUACCAAAA